UAACGAAUCUUCCGCAAUGCACGAAAGUGUGACGGAGCGACGCCGCGUGUGGGACGAAGUUCUUCGGAAUGUAAACCACUGUCAGGGGUUAGAAAGUUCUGAUCAACCCCAGAGGAAGGCACGGCUAACUCUGUGCCAGCAGCCGCGGUAAGACAGAGGUGCCAAGCGUUAGGCGGAAUCACUGGGCUUAAAGCGUGUGUAGGCGGAUGCCUAAGUACCUUGUGAAAUCCCACGGCUCAACCGUGGAACUGCUGGGUAUACUGGGUGUCUUGAGCUGUCUAGGGGCUACCGGAACAAGUGGUGGAGCGGUGAAAUGCGUAGAUAUCACUUGGAACGCCAAUGGUGAAAACAGGUAGCUGGGGACAUGCUGACGCUGAGACACGAAAGCCAGGGGAGCAAACGGGAUUAGAUACCCCCGUAGUCC
rnacentral:rRNA from 1 species